GCUCAGGCCAGAGAGAGGUGAUCCUGCCCUUGUGUAAAUCCCUCCUUUCCCAAGGCAGCUGCCAAGUCAGAGAGUCCUUCAUUUCAUCUUGGAGGCUCUCUGCUCCAGGGAAGGAGAACAAAUGUAAUGGGGAUGAUGGAUCUCAGGGGUGAAGAGUGUUACAUGGAGUAACAAGUAAGAGGUCACACAACCUUCAUGUAUGAUCUUCAAAUUCAAGGACUGUGAUUUCUUUGUAUCUUGAACUAUGCUAUGAAAGUUAAUAAUAAUACAUCCAUCAAGAAAUAAAAUACUGACAUCUAGAAUA